GGGUACACUACGGGAGAAUAGCUAGUACUCGGCCAGCUGCAGAAGCAGGAGGGGAACAAGCCUAGCAGAGGUAUCUGUUCCAUUCCCAGCUGGCUCGGCUCAGUAGCUGGUGAUUGGAAGACACUCUGCAAUGUCA
rnacentral:snoRNA from 1 species